rnacentral:rRNA from 1 species
UACGGAGGGUGCAAGCGUUAUCCGGAUUUACUGGGUUUAAAGGGUGCGUAGGUGGGUAGGAAAGUCAGUGGUGAAAUCUUCGGGCUUAACCCGGGAACUGCCAUUGAUACUAUUUAUCUUGAAUACUUUGGAGGUAAGCGGAAUAUGUCAUGUAGCGGUGAGAUGCUUAGAUAUGACAUAGAACACCAAUUGCGAAGGCAGCUUACUACACAGUUAUUGACACUGAGGCACGAAAGCGUGGGGAUCAAACAGG